AGACGCUGAAGCGGGCGUUGACGGGCGGUGACGCGCAUGCGCCCUGCAACCCCUACGGCCCAGAGCGCAAGGUCGUCGCCUGCUAUAGCGCCUGAGGGCUGCGAUGGAGAUGCCCGCUCCUGCUGCCCGCCUGCGAGGCUUCAUCUGCCGGCCUUGGCCCGGGGAGCACGCGGCACCGGAGCCGGGCCCCUGCAGCACGGAGGCUCCACGUCCCGACUGCCCGCUGGCUCCCCACGGCUGGUCCGGCGCGCGUGUUGCUGCCACAUUUUUGUUUUUCAGUUGCAUUCAUUUUACAUCAAAGCAAGUCGUGAGAGGUCUUUGGCAACCAAUUCCCUCCGUAGCCUUGAGGCAGAAGCUCUCCGUCUCCUCGCCACACCUGGGCUUCCUGCUGGCUGCUGACUUGCCCUCACCCCUGGCGAAUGAGCCUUGCACCUCCUGAACUGGGAGCACUGCUGCAGCACCACAUGAGGGGGGUUCACCAUCCCUCCGGGCUGGAGCUGCCCGAAAGAAUUGACUCUAACUGCCUGGCUCCGGGGAGACAGGAUGUGACUAAGGCUUUGCUGGUUGAUUCGUCCGGACACGCGCUGCCUAAUUGCUGCUUCCUAAAGGAAGAACGAGCGUGUGGACAUUAUGCCCAUUUCAUGGGCAAGAAAUGAUCGUGGAGAGGGGACUCUCCAACCAGAGGAGAAUCCCUCUCCUUCGGCUGUUGGAACAACCCCUUGUUGAACCUCUUCUGGGUUGCGGCUGUCUCCGCCACCUAUCAUCUCUUCUGCUUUUUUCAUGUCCCACGAUGCAUCUCUUGACCUUCACACAUUGGGCAACAGGAAUGUAUGAUGGUUUCUAGGCUCCUCUGAAGGGCAAUGACUUCCCGGACCUGUGGCACGUGCCCGCUUGGCUUUGACGUGAUCUCAGCUGAUUCACAUGGUCAGUGACUGAGCCCUGAGUUACAGAAGACAACAGAUUGUCCCCUUCCCUGACACCUGCUCCAGCGGUGUCCUGGGAGAGCUUAAUUGCUGGCAUUGUGAAGACACCUUCCAGGCGGAGUCCAACGUGACUUGUCUGCCAGAGUCAGAAGAUAAGGAGCUGUUUUCAGCCUCCUGUGCUCCCUGGGGGAGAAGUCUGGGAUAAAAAUAAACCCAGGUGACCGUUGUCUUGGCUUCAAAGGGCAAAGAACCAAUUUUUAUAGUUCGGGGAGGAAAUAUUUCUGCUGUGCCUUGAAUGGAACAGCGGAAAAGUUCCAGCCUCUGGGGAUAGGCGAGUUCAAGGUGGUUGACACAGCCCCUCUGCAGCAUCCCUGCCACUGAAGAUCUGCCCCAGUGACAGCUGCAUUUGAACCCGGAUGGCUAAUGUAGCAUCUUGGACACCUCCCCAGGCUGGUGGCCUGUGCUGGGCUCAACCCCAGUUGGGGGGCAACCAGACUGGUCUCAGAAUCUGUGGGGACACUGGAAAUGCUUUUCUGGGAGGCAGAGGUGACUUAGGAGCCAGAAUUGAUCUGGUUUAGGCCUCGUGUAGACAGAUCUCAGUACAGAUACAACUUAUUCAAGUUUUUUAAGCCUUGCUUGAAACCAGCGAGCGCUACAUCCAACCGGUGUGGAAGGGGCAGGUUAACGGAACUGGAAGAGUCCAAACAACUCCCGUGUUGGAGCAUCUGCCGCAUCUGUUUGAUGCUUAAAAAGCAGGUUCUGCCUUGGGUCCAGGUGGAGCCUUUCCCCAUGGCAGGUUCGGGUGUUGUGUUGGGGUGACGGUCAUUUGACAAAGAGGUUAGAUGAUGGAUUCAUCUGGGAUGGUUUGGACAGGGCUGAUCCUGCCUCAGACGGAGGGGUUGGACUAGAAGUGACCUCUGGAGCUCCCUUCCAGCCCCACUUCUCUAUGACUCUCUCUCCUCCGUGGUGCUGUUUGCCAUGGUCCAGUCUCCCUCUUAACCUUUGAGCUAAACUGUUCCUGAAUUAACCCACUUGAAACAAAUAAAGUGAUUGCAGGUACCAUGAAGGUCUCCAGCUUCCAGCAGGUGAUGACCCACCCCUGGUGGGAUCCGCCCAGGCUGCCUGGCCCUGCCUCCCAUUCCCUUGAGUUGCUUUGGGAAAUGAGCUUUUAAGCACUCAAGCAACUUGGCCUCUUUGUGAACCCUCAGGCUUUGUCUAGUCAGCAGGCAACAGCAGUCCGGCUCCUGUGAGAUUUUUAGCUCACCAUAAAUCAGGCACAAAUGGAUCCAGCCUGUCAGCUUCAGUCCUGUUUGUCAAAGCAGCUUAGGAUCCCGAGUUCCCUGACACUGUCUUCAGAAGCAUCAUGUGCCGAGACACAAGUGUGGCCAGCUGGCUUGGCUUGAAAAGGAAGCCUUAUAUGAGGUGGGUGUUGAAUGGAGGUGGCAGAGGGGAAAAGCUGAGCCCAUAAUCUCUCCCAACGAAGCUAUUAUAAUCCCCCCCAGGGUGGUGCUAGAGCAGCUGAGUUUGUGCCUAAAAGAGCGAUGUAACUGGGUCAAAUGCGGUUGUAUCUGAGCUCUGGCAGGGUGGGAGGAAAGCUGCCAGCUGUUGGCCUGAACUUAUUUCAGGUCCUUUGUUAGAGCCCAAGGGGUGGGAGUUUCAGGGCUCUGUUUCUGGAUUCAGAGGCGGCCUUGACAUAACUAAUGCAAGGAAACCUAAAAUAAUGAGCUCUUCUGUCAUCUAUACGCUUUCUCCGGAGACUACCAAACAAGCAUCUAUUUCAACACAUCCAGAAAACCCAAUUUUGGGGCAUCUCAGGCUGCCUCUCGCAUGCAAAUAAACGAAUGUGACCAAGUAAUUAUAGUCCACUAGGCUAAAAACCAUAGAGGACAAUGGAGGCAGUGAUGUAUUUGAGAUGACGCCUGUCCAGAACUAUUUGGUUGUUCCAGCCUCCGGGAAUCGGCAGCUGUCUCUUCUGUAACAAAGAUUAAGGCUCAGCCUGUCACCUGCUGUUACCUAAAGCCCAGAGCCAAACUUAGCCCUACACAAGCAAAAGUCAGUGGUGAGUCCUCUAAACAUUAAACCUGUUACAUAGGUGCCAUGAUACAUGCUUUGUUGGGCUUCCAGCUCCUGAGCUUUGGUUCUUUCAUCCAAAAAAGGGGCGGUUGAGACGAAACAUCGCCCCCUUUUCUAGCUGAAGGAAAAAAAACUCACAAAAGUCUUAUUCCACUUUGAAAAUUAUGUUUGUGGGGCACCGCUCACCUGUUAUGGACAUUUGAACAGUUAAAAAAAACAACGAAAAGGUAAUUUUGGUUUCAAAGCUGAAAAUCAGUGUUUUAGAGAAUAUCCAAAAAUGAAAUGUUCUGGCUUUUUGUCUUUUUUAAUGUUUUCCAGCUUUUCUUUCUGCCAAGAAUAUCCAAAAACAAGGGGAAAAAAACCCCAGAGCAUUUCAUUUUUUGGAUAUUGUCAGCAGAAAGAAAAGAUGGAAAGCUUUAGGGGGGAAAAAAGGCUAAAACAUUUCAUUUUUUUAUAUUCUCGGUAGAAAGAAAAGUCACAAAAUAUUAGGAAAACAA